AUACGGAGGGUGCGAGCGUUAAUCGGAAUUACUGGGCGUAAAGCGCGCGUAGGCGGUUUGUUAAGUCGGAUGUGAAAUCCCCGGGCUCAACCUGGGGCCUGCAUCCGAUACUGGCAGGCUAGAGUCUGGUAGAGGGGGGUAGAAUUCCUGGUGUAGCGGUGAAAUGCGUAGAUAUCAGGAGGAAUACCAGUGGCGAAGGCGGCCCCCUGGACUGAGACUGACGCUGAGGUGCGAAAGCGUGGGGAGCAAACAGGAUUAGAAACCCCGGUAGUCC
rnacentral:rRNA from 1 species